AGUGAACGCUGGCGGUAGGCCUAACACAUGCAAGUCGAACGGCAGCACAGUAAGAGCUUGCUCUUACGGGUGGCGAGUGGCGGACGGGUGAGGAAUACAUCGGAAUCUACUUUUUCGUGGGGGAUAACGUAGGGAAACUUACGCUAAUACCGCAUACGACCUACGGGUGAAAGCAGGGGAUCUUCGGACCUUGCGCGAUUGAAUGAGCCGAUGCCGGAUUAGCUAGUUGGCGGGGUAAAGGCCCACCAAGGCGACGAUCCGUAGCUGGUCUGAGAGGAUGAUCGGCCACACUGGAACUGAGACACGGUCCAGACUCCUACGGGAGGCAGCAGUGGGGAAUAUUGGACAAUGGGCGCAAGCCUGAUCCAGCCAUACCGCGUGAGUGAAGAAGGCCUUCGGGUUGUAAAGCCCUUUUGUUGGGAAAGAAAAGCAGCAGGUUAAUACCCCGCUGUUCUGACGGUACCCAAAGAAUAAGCACCGGCUAACUUCGUG
rnacentral:rRNA from 1 species